rnacentral:rRNA from 1 species
AGAGUUUGAUCCUGGCUCAGGACGAACGCUGGCGGCGUGCCUAAUACAUGCAAGUCGAGCGGACCGAAAGGAGAGCUCGCUCUCCUUUCAGUCAGCGGCGGACGGGUGAGUAACACGUGGGUAACCUGCCUGUAAGACCGGGAUAACUCGCGGAAACGCGAGCUAAUACCGGAUAGGUCUCGUGGCCGCAUGGCGACGGGAGGAAAGAUGGCGCGAGCUAUCGCUUACAGAUGGGCCCGCGGCGCAUUAGCUAGUUGGUGGGGUAACGGCCCACCAAGGCGACGAUGCGUAGCCGACCUGAGAGGGUGAUCGGCCACAUUGGGACUGAGACACGGCCCAAACUCCUACGGGAGGCAGCAGUAGGGAAUCUUCCGCAAUGGGCGAAAGCCUGACGGAGCAACGCCGCGUGAGCGAAGAAGGCCUUCGGGUCGUAAAGCUCUGUUGUCAGGGAAGAACAAGUACCGGAGUAACUGCCGGUACCUUGACGGUACCUGACCAGAAAGCCCCGGCUAACUACGUGCCAGCAGCCGCGGUAAUACGUAGGGGGCGAGCGUUGUCCGGAAUCAUUGGGCGUAAAGCGCGCGCAGGCGGUCCCUUAAGUCUGAUGUGAAAUCUUGCGGCUCAACCGCAAGAGGUCAUUGGAAACUGGGGGACUUGAGUGCAGGAGAGGGAAGCGGAAUUCCAUGUGUAGCGGUGAAAUGCGUAGAGAUAUGGAGGAACACCAGUGGCGAAGGCGGCUUCCUGGCCUGUAACUGACGCUCAGGCGCGAAAGCGUGGGGAGCAAACAGGAUUAGAUACCCUGCUAGUCCACGCCGUAAACGAUGAGUGCUAGGUGUUGGAGGGGUUUACCCUUCAGUGCUGGAGCUAACGCAUUAAGCACUCCGCCUGGGGAGU